rnacentral:ribozyme from 1 species
UGCCCAGCAACUCCUAUCCCUACCUCCACGCGGUACCGGCCGGAAACUAUGAGCAAUCUUAGGGAAGAUCGGGUAACCAACCCUGGUGGGAACUUUGGUCGUAGGCUGACAGGGAAGG